rnacentral:rRNA from 1 species
UACAGAGGGUGCAAGCGUUGUUCGGAAUUAUUGGGAGUAAAGCGCGUGUAGGCGGUGGUUCAAGUCGGGUGUGAAAGCCCUCAGCUUAACUGGGGAGGGUCACGCGAUACUGAUCGACUCGAAGGCAGGAGAGGGUAGUGGAAUUCCCGGUGUAGUGGUGAAAUGCGUAGAUAUCGGGAGGAACACCAGUGGCGAAGGCGACUACCUGGCCUGUUCUUGACGCUGAGGCGCGAAAGCUAGGGGAGCAAACGGG